ACAAAGAGAAAUACCAGGUAACACAACAAAAAAGUAGCAUGCUCUUCACAAAUGAAUGAUAGAAAAGUAAUAUAUCUCUAUCCACUCUAAAUUGUCUUAGUUUGCACAUAAAAUGCAGCCUCUGCAGCCCCUUUUUAUAGAUGGUGUUGGUAUUACUGUCCCAUUGCAACUUAUUAUCUAUUAUUGUGCCUAAGUACUUGUACUCGACUACAAUCACAACAUCCUCACCAUUUUUAACCAUACACUGGGGGGGCUGGCUCCCAGUUCUGUACUGUAGUCUAUUAUUAUUUGCUUUGUUUUCUGUAUAUUUAGAAGAUGACAGCUGGACCUACACCAUUUCGCGAAUUGAUCCACCCAGGCCCUGUAGUUGGUCUCCUCGCUAUUCUGUAUUAACCCCACUAUUGCUGUGUCAUCUGCAGAUUUUAUGAGAUCCUUGCUCCUGAUAUCCCGAUGUAUGGGUUGCACUUCAUUAUAUGACUCCAACAGAACACUCACAGAAAGGAGAGUAGUAUCAAACUACAAGACAGCCAGCAUGUAAGCAAGGCCUUGUUUGUCCUUGUUUGGCUACUCAUUUGUCUACUUCCUGAAGAGGCUGAAGCAUGCUGGCCUCCUUGCUUCCAUUAACAGCUGUGUUAUGGAGUGCAUCCUCACAUCAUGGUCUACUGCAGCGGUGGAUACAGAGGACAAUUGGCAGGUUGUCAGCUGUUUGGUUAUCCCCAAAGCAGAAAGACAUGCCAGGAAGGAGCAAGGCAAAGCCCGGGGAUUUUUCUGCAGCUGUUCCUGCCCGUUAUAGAAGGACUGCUCCUGAGAAUAGAUGGGUGUCUACAUCGUUUUGCAAAAUGGGUCUUCUACACAUGAUGUUUGUCAAGCACUGCUCAUUGACUGGCCAGGGGUCCUCUGUAUUGUGACCACUGGUCAAAGGCGCCACAUGACUGUCUCAAAGUCCUCUACAUCAUUCCGGUGACGGGACUUCU